AAGAGAGGGGACCCUGAGCCGCCCGGCUGCAGGCAGGGAGCAGGCAGGGGGUGGGAGCAGGCAGGGAGCAGGCAGGGGGACAGGUAGGCAGGGUGUAGGCACAGCACAGGGCAGCUGUAGGCAGUGAGCGGGCAGGGUGCAGGCAGCACAUGCAGGCAGGGAGUGGUAAGAGCGUGGGCAAGGCACAGGGCAGCUGCAGGCAGGGAGUGGGCAGGGUGUGGGCAGGGUGUGGGCAAGGCGCAGGGCAGCUGCAGGCAGGGAGUGGGCAAGGUGUGGGCAGGGUGUGGGCAAGGUGCAGGGCAGCUGCAGGCAGGGAGUGGGCAGGGUGUGGGCAGGGUGUGGGCAAGGCGCAGGGCAGCUGCAGGCAGGGAGUGGGCAGGGUGCAGGCAGCACAGGGGCAGGUGCAGGCAGCACAUGCGGGCAGGGCGUAGGCAGGGUGUUGGCAGGGCGCAGGCAGGGAGUG